UUCGCAAUGCCCGAAAGGGUGACGAUGCGACGCCGCGUGUGGGAAGAAGGCCUUCGGGUUGUAAACCACUGUUGGGAGUUAGGAAGUGUGGAAGUGUUAAUAGCGCUUUCACUUGACUAAAGCUCCAGAGGAAGCCACGGCUAACUCUGUGCCAGCAGCCGCGGUAAUACAGAGGCGGCAAGCGUUGUUCGGAAUUAUUGGGCGUAAAGAGCACGUAGGCGGCCGUGUAGGUCGGUUGUGAAAGCCUUCCGCUCAACGGAAGGACGGCAUCCGAUACUGCAUGGCUCGAGUGCGGGAGGGGAGAGUGGAACUUCUGGUGGAGCGGUGAAAUGCGUAGAUAUCAGAAGGAACACCGGCGGCGAAGGCGACUCUCUGGUCCGUAACUGACGCUGAGUGUGCGAAAGCUAGGGGAGCAAACGGGAUUAGAUACCCCGGUAGUCCUAGCCGUAAACGAUGGGCACUAAGUAGAGGGGUUUU
rnacentral:rRNA from 1 species